GAGUUUGAACCUGGCUCAGGAUGAACGCUGGCGGCGUGCCUAAUACAUGCAAGUCGAGCGAACCACUUCGGUGGUGAGCGGCGAACGGGUGAGUAACACGUAGGUGGUCUGCCCAUCAGACGGGGACAACGAUUGGAAACGAUCGCUAAUACCGGAUAGGACGAAAGUUUAAAGGUGCUUCUGGCACCGCUGAUGGAUGAGCCUGCGGCGCAUUAGCUAGUUGGUAGGGUAAAGGCCUACCAAGGCGACGAUGCGUAGCCGACCUGAGAGGGUGAACGGCCACACUGGGACUGAGACACGGCCCAGACUCCUACGGGAGGCAGCAGUAGGGAAUCUUCGGCAAUGGGCGAAAGCCUGACCGAGCAACGCCGCGUGAAUGAUGAAGGCCUUCGGGUUGUAAAAUUCUGUUAUAAGGGAAGAACGACUUUAGUAGGAAAUGGCUAGAGUGUGACGGUACCUUAUGAGAAAGCCACGGCUAACUACGUGCCAGCAGCCGCGGUAAUACGUAGGUGGCGAGCGUUAUCCGGAAUUAUUGGGCGUAAAGAGCGCGCAGGUGGUUGAUUAAGUCUGAUGUGAAAGCCCACGGCUUAACCGUGGAGGGUCAUUGGAAACUGGUCGACUUGAGUGCAGAAGA
rnacentral:rRNA from 1 species